rnacentral:antisense_RNA from 1 species
UCAAUAUUUCCUAAUCCGAUUUGUUGAUACCGAAGCCCUGACUGUUCCCGCAGUUGGGGCUUCACU